rnacentral:lncRNA from 1 species
UGCCUGUGUCAUUUUCACAAGAUUUCCCUCUUCUCUGCUCCUGUCUUCUCUUCUGUCUCUUAUAGGACACUUGUGAUUAGAUUUCAGACCGACAUUGUUCCUUUAGGAUUAUCUCAUCUUGAGAUACUUAACUUAAUUACAUCUGCAAAGAUUCUUUUUCCAAAGAAGGUCACGUUCCUGGAUUCUGGGUGGACAUGUCUUUGCAGGGAAUAGAUUAAAAGAACUUCGAAAACUCCUUUUGAUGAAACAAGUAAUAAAAUAU